GUAACACUGCCACAGUCCUCAAGGCUAUAUUUGCCCAUAGGAUACAAUGAAGUCCAUUGCUUGAUUUCUUUUUGCACUUAAGAAACCAGAUUGUGAACACUCACAGUGCUCCACAUGAAUGCAAAAUCUCAAGUAUGUUUGUGCAGCAAACAAAGUUGAGAGUGAUUAUAGAGAAGUUCAAUUGCUGAAGGAAGGUUUUUUCUGCUUAUAUAUAAGCAGUUGAUAGUGUCUAUUCAAGAGACACAAACAUAGCGGUUAUUCCAUCAUAUCUUAACUGUUGAAAACUGAAAAAAUUCAAACUGAAUUUUAUCCAUUGUGGUUUUAUUUUCAAAUUAUACAACAUUUCCUUGACCAUAUAUGUCAUGAAAUUU
rnacentral:misc_RNA from 1 species